rnacentral:rRNA from 1 species
GAUGAACGCUGGCGGCGUGCCUAAUACAUGCAAGUCGAGCGAACGGACGAGAAGCUUGCUUCUCUGAUGUUAGCGGCGGACGGGUGAGUAACACGUGGAUAACCUACCUAUAAGACUGGGAUAACUUCGGGAAACCGGAGCUAAUACCGGAUAAUAUUUUGAACCGCAUGGUCAAAAGUGAAAGACGGUCUUGCUGUCACCUAUAGAUGGAUCCGCGCCGCAUUAGCUAGUUGGUAAGGUAACGGCUUACCAAGGCAACGAUGCAUAGCCGACCUGAGAGGGUGAUCGGCCACACUGGAACUGAGACACGGUCCAGACUCCUACGGGAGGCAGCAGUAGGGAAUCUUCCGCAAUGGGCGAAAGCCUGACGGAGCAACGCCGCGUGAGUGAUGAAGGUCUUCGGAUCGUAAAACUCUGUUAUUAGGGAAGAACAUAUGUGUAAGUAACUGUGCACAUCUUGACGGUACCUAAUCAGAAAGCCACGGCUAACUACGUG